rnacentral:ncRNA from 1 species
GGUUGGGCGACUUUGUCGCUUUCAAGAAUUUGCUUCUUGGGUGGGGGGCC